rnacentral:lncRNA from 1 species
GUGAAGGGAAAGCGAGAGCACAGCAACUUUAUAAUCGACUUUUUAUUAAGAUUAUAAAUUUAAACAAAUCUGAACAGUUUUACCCGGUGAUAUACAAUUCCAUAUGCACAAAAAUACAGGCUUACAAACAAAGAAAAAAGAGGAAAGAAAGGAAGAAGGAAAGAAAAAAAAAAAAAAAAAAAAAAAAAAGACCCCAACAGACCGUUUGGCAAAGCAUCCUCAGUUACACAUAGUGCUGAUACCGUGAAGUUGGGAGUGGGCAGGCUGCGAAAUAAAACAAGGAGGGAGGACGACCAGAAAACCCACCUUUUUACAACAAAAGGUUUUUCUUCUUUAAAAAAAAAAAAAAAUUAGAAAAAAAAUACUCAAGAUACUCUACAGGAGACAAAUCUUUUCACAAGACCAAACAAUGCUGGUUUUAUGGUUUGGAAGGCUGAAACCAGAACAGUUGAACUUAAGAAAACCAAAACAAAAAAAAACAAAACAAAAAAAGAAGGAAAAGAGUAAGAGACCCGACACAGCACAGCGGAGACGUGAGUAGUGUUACACGGUUACCUGCGGCAUCACAAACACACACCGCGGCGGAGGCUCCGGGGGGGCGGCUCGCCCCCUCCCCGGCCUGGCGGGGAGCAGCCCGGAGGGACCCCCGGCCCCUGCUUUACUCCCACCCCCCCUCUAUCCCCCCCCUCUAGAUUCAGCUCCCGUAACCCUCCAGCGUUACCCCGGCACAAGCGGUGGGAAGGAGAAGUCCCACCGCGCGCGUUUCUUUGGGGAGGAAAGUUGAAAUGUUUUCAUUUCUGUCCCUUUUUUUUUUUUUCCUCUUUUAAAUCUCUAAAGAAACGCACAAAAGCGAACCGGCAGCGGCUGAUUUUUUUUUUUUGUUUUGUUUUGUUUUCGUUUGUUUGCUUACUAUUUUUUUUUGUUGUUGUUUUUGUUUUUUUUUUUUUUUUCUCUCAUCUCUGCAAAAAUAAAGUCCCAAGAUCUUAGAUUUUUUUUUCUUUAUUGUACAAUUUAUAAAACACUAGCGUGGCUCUGCCCUCCCACCUCCCCU